rnacentral:rRNA from 8 species
UAGACCUGAGGUCAGGCAAGACCACCCGCUGAACUUAAGCAUAUCAAUAAGCGGAGGAAAAGAAACUAACCAGGAUUCCCC